AACGUAGGACACAAGCGUUUAUCCGGAGUUACUGGGCGUAAAGGGCGUGUAGGCGGACCUAUAAGUCUAUUCUGAAAGCUCCUGGCUAAACUGGGAGAGGCGAAUGGAGACUGUAGAUCUAGAGUGAGGAAGAGGAAAGUGGAAUUCCGCGUGUAGUGGUGAAAUGCGUAGAGAUGCGGAGGAACACCAGUGGCGAAAGCGACUUUCUGGUCCUUAACUGACGCUGAGGCGCGAAAGCAUGGGGGAGCGAACGGG
rnacentral:rRNA from 1 species